AAGUCAAAAAUAAGAGGAAAAGAUCAAAGAGAGAAGAGGAAUAGGAAUUUAAAAUCAAUACAGAAAUGUUCUAAUAAAUAUAAGUUUAUAAAGCAUGUGACUGUUAGUAGGAUCCAAACUUUACAAGUGGAAUGUAGCAAAUAAUUCAACGAUUACAGGUCGCAGGAAAUGAAGAUGGUGUAACUGCUUUUCAAAUGGACAUUAAGGUGGCUGGAAUUACUUUCCCAACCAAGCAAAGGAUGGCCGGAAGCAUAUCCUUGCUGAAAUGUUGAAGUGCUCACCUCCUCUGUCCAGAGCGCUUUCAAAGCAUGCCCCCCUGAUUCAUGUCAUGAAGAUCUGUUAAUGCUUGGAGCCAUAUAUAUAUAGUAAACCUCGCACGUAUUCUUUCAGUGUGUAAAUAUAUGUAGGGAGGGAUUCAUUUGGUGCG